rnacentral:rRNA from 1 species
AGUGAACGCUGGCGGUAGGCCUAACACAUGCAAGUCGAACGGCAGCACAGUAAGAGCUUGCUCUUACGGGUGGCGAGUGGCGGACGGGUGAGGAAUACAUCGGACUCUACUUUUUCGUGGGGGAUAACGUAGGGAAACUUACGCUAAUACCGCAUACGACCUACGGGUGAAAGCAGGGGAUCUUCGGACCUUGCGCGAUUGAAUGCGCCGAUGUCGGAUUAGCUAGUUGGCGGGGUAAAGGCCCACCAAGGCGACGAUCCGUAGCUGGUCUGAGAGGAUGAUCAGCCACACUGGAACUGAGACACGGUCCAGACGCCUACGGGAGGCAGCAGUGGGGAAUAUUAGACAAUGGGCGCAAGCCUGAUCCAGCCAGACCGCGUGGGUGAAGAAGGCCUUCGGGUUGUAAAGACCUUUUGUUGGGAAAGAAAAGCAGCAGGUUAAUACCCCGCUGUUCUGACGGUACCGAAAGAAUAAGCACCGGCUAACUACGUG